GAUGAACGCUAGCGGCAGGCUUAAUACAUGCAAGUCGAGGGGCAGCAGGUCUGUAGCAAUACAGAUGCUGGCGACCGGCAAACGGGUGCGGAACACGUACAGAACCUUCCUUCGAGCGGGGAAUAGCCCAGAGAAAUUUGGAUUAAUACCCCAUAGUAUAUUGAAGAGGCAUCUCUUUAAUAUUAAAGAUUUAUCACUUGAAGAUGGCUGUGCGGCUGAUUAGGUAGUUGGCGGGGUAACGGCCCACCAAGCCUACGAUCAGUAACUGGUGUGAGAGCACGACCAGUCACACGGGCACUGAGACACGGGCCCGACUCCUACGGGAGGCAGCAGUAAGGAAUAUUGGUCAAUGGACGCAAGUCUGAACCAGCCAUGCCGCGUGGAGGAUGAAGGUCCUCUGGAUUGUAACUUCUUUUAUAUGGGAACGAAAAGGAUCUUUCUAGAUCACCUGACGGUACCAUA
rnacentral:rRNA from 1 species